GAUGAACGCUGGCGGCGUGCCUAAUACAUGCAAGUCGAGCGAACAGACGAGGAGCUUGCUCCUCUGACGUUAGCGGCGGACGGGUGAGUAACACGUGGAUAACCUACCUAUAAGACUGGGAUAACUUCGUGAAACCGGAGCUAAUACCGGAUAAUAUAUUGAACCGCAUGGUUCAAUAGUGAAUGACGGUUUUGCUGUCACUUAUAGAUGGAUCCGCGCCGCAUUAGCUAGUUGGUAAGGUAACGGCUUACCAAGGCAACGAUGCGUAGCCGACCUGAGAGGGUGAUCGGCCACACUGGAACUGAGACACGGUCCAGACUCCUACGGGAGGCAGCAGUAGGGAAUCUUCCGCAAUGGGCGAAAGCCUGACGGAGCAACGCCGCGUGAGUGAUGAAGGUCUUCGGAUCGUAAAGCUCUGUUAUUAGGGAAGAACAAAUGUGUAAGUAACUAUGCACGUCUUGACGGUACCUAAUCAGAAAGCCACGGCUAACUACGUG
rnacentral:rRNA from 1 species